GACGAACGCUGGCGGCGUGCCUAAUACAUGCAAGUCGAGCGGACGAAUCGAAAGCUUGCUUUUGAUUCGUUAGCGGCGGACGGGUGAGUAACACGUGGGCAACCUGCCCUGUAGACGGGGAUAACACCGAGAAAUCGGUGCUAAUACCGGAUAACACGAAAUGUCGCAUGACGUUUCGUUGAAAGACGGCGCAAGCUGUCGCUACAGGAUGGGCCCGCGGCGCAUUAGCUAGUUGGUGAGGUAACGGCUCACCAAGGCGACGAUGCGUAGCCGACCUGAGAGGGUGAUCGGCCACACUGGGACUGAGACACGGCCCAGACUCCUACGGGAGGCAGCAGUAGGGAAUCUUCCGCAAUGGACGAAAGUCUAACGGAGCAACGCCGCGUGAGCGAAGAAGGCCUUCGGGUCGUAAAGCUCUGUUGUUAGGGAAGAACAAGUAACGCAGUAACUGGCGUUACCGUGACGGUACCUAACGAGAAAGCCACGGCUAACUACGUG
rnacentral:rRNA from 1 species